GUUGAUUCUCAUGCCUUGUUCCCACACUCCCGUAUACCUGACCUACCGUGUACCGACCCCCGCUUGUUCCCUGACCAUCCUAAAUUAUGCCCCCCCUCUACUGAUUCCUGGCAGGAGCCAUGUAAACCAUGGAAAGAUACUUCAAGGAUGCAGAUGACAACACUCACAGCGACAACGAAGGCAGCGGCCCUGCCAGCCGACCGACAAGCAAAAAAUUUCAAGCCCUAUUGCCCGGGUGUGGGGGGCAGGCAACAUGUUACGUGUUGGCACGGAAGGUCGAGUAAAGGGAAGUAAGCAAUAGUGUGGUCCAGAAUGACUACAAAUGUUCUGUCAUAGUUUUAUUUUACGUUUCUCACAAGAGGCCUCUUUGACUUUCUUUUAACUCACUUUAAUUUGUAGUUAAGACACUGAGAUAACAUGACAUCCUGUUCCAUCCACCAUCUACUCUACAUACUUUCUCUCUUAUGUUUUUGCCACUUCUAUACUAUAUGUAUGUACUCCUUUUACAUUGCUUGCAUUAGCUU